UAAGUCUGGUAUGUUCAGCUGCUGACAGUCUCUGAGCAGUGGCUCUGUGUGUCCAGAUCAGCU
rnacentral:miRNA from 1 species